rnacentral:rRNA from 1 species
GCGAGGUGGAGCAAAUCUCAAAAAGCCGUCCCAGUUCGGAUCGCAGGCUGCAACCCGCCUGCGUGAAGUUGGAAUCGCUAGUAAUCGCGGAUCAGCAUGCCGCGGUGAAUACGUUCCCGGGCCUUGUACACACCGCCCGUCACACCAUGAGAGUCGAUAACACCCGAAGCCUGUAGUCUAACAGCAAUGAGGACGCAGUCGAAGGUGGGAUUGAUAAUUAGGGUGAAGUCGUAACAAGGUACC